rnacentral:lncRNA from 13 species
GUUAAAUCCUUUAUGUUUUAAUUCUCACAGCCACCCAUGGGUGGGUGCUGCCAAAGACCUAUGCUUCAUAGAUGGAGAUGUUGAGGCAUAGACUCAGGAAGGAUCUUACACCAAAUCUUGUAAGUGGAGGAGUCAGAAUGUGAACUUGGCCCUUCUGAGUGUUUAAUCUCUACGAUAUUCUGCCUCUCAGGUGGAUGGGGAGGGUCCAUAAGGGCCCCUGAUCUGGUCUAGUGGGACCUCGGAAGACUCUUGGGUUGUUCAACUGAAGAACCAGCAAGGGAUGCCGGUGAAGCACAGAGAAGGUUUCUUGGUCCUUCCCAUAGCCCUGAAAGAUGCUGUUCCUCUGGGAGGGCCUUUGUGACUCAGAAGGGCAGCAAAGACUUCCUGCACUGGCUGAGAUUCAUGCACGAGGGACCCAGACCUUCACCUCAGAUGAACGCAAGGACAGCCACUGGGUCACUCUCUCCCCAGUGUCUGAGAGGAUCCGAGAUGAUGGCAGUAUUUCCUGGUCCCCGGGGCUGCCUUUCCCUCCAAGUGUGGACCACAGAGGAGCCACUGUGGUGUCGGCCUGCACAGCCUCACUCCACAGACUUGCAGUCCUCCAGGACCAGAGUUCUUACGGGAGGAGGAAGAGAAACCGGGGAUCCCCGCUGUCUCUGCACACACAGAGGAAAGGCCGUGUCAGGAUUUGGAGGAAGGCCGCC